rnacentral:rRNA from 1 species
UACGGAGGUGGCAGGCGUUACUCGGAUUGAUUGGGUGUAAAGGGCAUGUAGGCGGUGCGUUAAGUCGAACGUGAAAUCCCAUGGCUCAACCAUGGAACUGCAUUCGAAACUGACGUACUUGAGUGAUGGAGAGGAAAGCGGAAUUCCCGGUGUAACAGUGAAAUGUGUAGAUAUCGGGAGGAACACCAGUGGCGAAGGCGGCUUUCUGGACAUCUACUGACGCUGAAAUGCGAAAGCUAGGGGAGCAAACAGG